rfam:Bacillus coagulans 36D1, complete genome.
UGGGUAGUAUCUAUUUCGGAACUAUACCAAUUCAGCUUUUUAUACAAAAUAGAUUCUGCCUUGAUCCUUAAACGGACGGGGACAGAGGG